GUCGAGAGUAAUUCACAAUGGACGAAAGUCUGAUGGUGCAACGCCGCGUGGAGGAUGAAGGUCUUCGGAUUGUAAACUCCUGUCAUCGGGGAGUAAGACCUGGCGGUAAAUAGCCGACAGGGUUGAUAGUACCCGAAGAGGAAGGGACGGCUAACUUCGUGCCAGCAGCCGCGGUAAUACGAAGGUCCCAAGCGUUGUUCGGAAUCACUGGGCGUAAAGGGAGCGUAGGCGGCGUGGUAAGUCAGAUGUGAAAUCCCGGGGCUCAACCCCGGAACUGCAUCCGAGACUGCCAUGCUUGAGGGUUGGAGAGGUAGCUGGAAUUCUCGGUGUAGCAGUGAAAUGCGUGGAUAUCGAGAGGAGCACUCGUGGCGAAGGCGAGCUACUGGACAGCAUCUGACGCUGAGGCACGAAGGCCAGGGGAGCGAAAGGGAUUAGAUACCCGGGUAGUCC
rnacentral:rRNA from 1 species